UCCCUGCCUCACUCAACUGAGGACCUACCCUGGCCGCAGCCCGUCCUCAGCCCUCAGCAGAGCUGGGGCCUGGGCAGCUCGGCCGUCUUCUUCCAGAGGGGCUCAGACAUCCUCGGGCGCUGAGGGUCAUCCCAGGACCCAGUGUGUCCCAGCCCUUGAGGCUGAAGGACGGGGCUCUGGAGUGGAGAUGCAGAAAUCGAGGUAGUGGCCACUGACCGACGGGGCGGGAGAGAAGCCCUGGGGCCCAUGGGUCCCCACAUGUAACCGUAUGUCCUCUGUGCAGAGCUCGGGACACUGGUGCCAUCGUGUCCCCAUGUGUCACCUCAUGUCCUCUGCACAGAGCUUGGGACACUGGUGCCAUCAUGUCCCCACGUGUGACCUCAUGUCCUCUGCACAGAGCUUGGGGCUGUCCUCUCAUGGCCGCUCCUGGAUGGUCAGGCCCUGUGUUCCAGGCGGCUUUGACAGUGACUGUCCCCGGUGCUGCCGUCACUAACCCAGCCUAAGAGCAAUAAAGCCACCUGCCCUGGAGUGGA